GAUGAACGCUGGCGGCGUGCCUAAUACAUGCAAGUCGAGCGAACAGACGAGGAGCUUGCUCCUCUGACGUUAGCGGCGGACGGGUGAGUAACACGUGUAUACCCUACCUAUAAUACUGGGAUCACUUCGGGAAAGCGGAUAUAAUAGCGGAGAAUAUAUUGAACCGCAUGGUUCAAUAGUGAAAGACGGUUUUGCUGUCACUUAUAGAUGGAUCCGCGCCGCAUUAGCUAGUUGGUAAGGUAACGGCUUACCAAGGCUACGAUGCGUAGCCGAACUGAGAGGGUGAUCGGCCACACUGGAACUGAGACACGGUCCAGACUACUAAGGGAGGCAGCAGUAGGGAAACUUCCGCAAUGGGCGAAAGCCUGACGGAGCAACGCCGCGUGAGUGAUGAAGGUCUUCGGAUCGUAAAACUCUGUUAUUAGGGAAGAACAAAUGUGUAAGUAACUAUGCACGUCUUGACGGUACCUAAUCAGAAAGCCACGGCUAACUACGUG
rnacentral:rRNA from 1 species